AUAGCGUAUAUUAAAGUUGUUGCAGUUAAAAAGCUCGUAGUUGAACUUCAGGUCUGGCUGGGCGGUCCGCUUAACAGCGUGUACUGUCUGGCUGGGUCUUACCUCUUGGUGAGCCGGCGUGCCCUUUAUUGGUGUGCGUCGGGGAACCAGGACUUUUACCUUGAGAAAAUUAGAGUGUUCAAAGCAGGCCAUUGCCUGAAUACAUUAGCAUGGAAUAAUAAAAUAGGACGUGCGGUUCUAUUUUGUUGGUUUCUAGAGUCGCCGUAAUGAUUAAUAGGGAUAGUUGGGGGCAUUGGUAUUGAGUCGCUAGAGGUGAAAUUCUUGGAUUGACUCAAGACCAACUAUUG
rnacentral:rRNA from 1 species